ensembl:lncRNA
CUCUAACCAUCAUGGGCUAGAUGUUGCUGAGUUUCCUGAUGAUGCUGCUGUCCCUAGGAUGCUGCCACAGAUGUCCUAGAAAUGCCAAAGCAGUGCUGUGGCCUGUUAUUACAUUGAAGAUCCAGAAGCACCUACUUUUCAUACAUUCUUCCAAGACCAAGCUGAUGUGAAGAGGGAGCAUGCAAAGCAGUUCAUAAAAUAUCUAAGAAAGUAUAAGUGUAAAAUCUGCCUUCCGGUGAUUAAGAGGCCUGAUAUAGAUAACUGGGGAACUGGUAAACAAGCUCUACUGUCUGCUCUGCAGUUGGAGAAUGAGUUAAACAAGCUCCUGCAAGACCUGAAGGCCUCAGCUUCUAGGAAUAAAGAAACCAAUCUCUUACGCUUCAUGAAAAAGUUCCUGGAUGAACAGACCAGGAACAUAAAAUAUCUGGAAUACCAGCUUAACUAUCAGAAGGAGUUGGAAAUGUCAACCCAGAGUGAAGGACAGCCUGAAAAUGCCCCCGGAACAUCUGCAGCAGCAGGUCAAGAGACAGAAUCUACAGGCAACUCUCCAAGUCCUCCUGCCCAGAAGGUCCCAAAGUCAUCUCCUUAAGAAUCCUGAUCUCCAUUUGACAGAAAUAUGCUUCUCUUUUCAUCUCAGAUCCUAAUCCUCCUGUUGUACAUGCAAAUAAAUGUGUUUUGCAUUAUG